AGUUUAAAGUAAUAAUUUUAAAUGUAUCCUGCCCAGUGUAUUUAUAAAUGGCCGCAGUACCCUGACUGUGCAAAGGUAGCAUAAUCAAUUGGCUUUUAAUUAAAGUCUGGAAUGAAAGGAUUAAUGAAAAAAGACUGUCUUAAAGAUAUUUUAUUUAAUUUAUUUAUUAGGUGAAAAUACCUAAUUUUUUUGAAAAAAGACGAGAAGACCCUUAGAAUUUUGAUAAUAUAGUUUAAACUAUUUAUUUUUGUUGGGGCGACAACUAAGCAUUUAAACCUUAGGUUUUUAUAAAACGAAAAUGUUAUAAAAGAUUAAAUUACCUUAGGGAUAACAGCAUUAUUUAUAAAAGUUUGUGACCUCGAUGUUGGACUAGGAACUUUAUGACUAGCAGUUUAAAAAGAUUUGUUCUGUUCGAACAAUUAAAUCCU
rnacentral:rRNA from 1 species